ensembl:lncRNA
GGGACACCGGGGACUCGGGACAAUGUCGCAACGUCCGCUCACUCCAACCCUCCUGUCUCCAUAUCCUCGUGCAUAUGGUGCAGUUCUGGUGUUUCUUUCCCACAUGCACAUAGGAGGUGUCACCCCACGGCCACGAGCAUCUGUGCUCAGCAGAACCAGAGGAUCCUCCCUCUGCGUUUCCCUUCCCUGGGGAACCCCUUCUGCCUGUUUCCGAGCAGCCCCAAGCCCCUCCACCCCACUCUUGCCCCAUCCCAGAGCCCCCAGAAGGAGCCAUGGUCCCAUGGUGUGCAGCUGCGGGUGCCGGGCUGUGCUGGGUCCCUGCAGUGCUCAGCUCCAGGAGGCAGCGCUGACCACGUGUGGGCCUGAGCCAGCCAAAGAUCCCAAAGCAAGGGGCUUUCCUCCCUCUCCUAUUCUGUUCUGAGUGCCAGAAUCUGCAGCCUGAAGCAAGGUGCAUGGUGCUGCACACAACAAGCAUCGUCCUGCCUUGUGAGGAGAGCCCAAGGGCUGGAAAGAAUGUUGCCCAAUCUGCUAUCUGCGUUUCAUCAACAUCCUGUGUUUACAUGGCUGCAAAUUCCCUGCGAGCAAGGGAGGAAGAGGAGGGAGAGAGCCUCUUCCCCUUCUGCUGCGCGAUGGAGCAACCCCCGGCCCCAGGGCUCCUCACUCUGCCCCAGUCCAUAGUGCUGCCUGGAGAGGCCAGGAAAGUGGAGUGGGUCCCCUUACCCAUGGUAUUGGUGGGAG